GACGUAGGUGGCAAGCGUUAUUCGGAAUUAUUGGGCGUAAAGCGUGUGUAGGUGGUUUCUUAAGUCUGAUGUGAAAGCCCACGGCUCAACCGUGGUCGGUCGUUGGAAACUGGGAAACUUGAGUACAGAAGAGGAAAGUGGAAUUCCACGUGUAGCGGUGAAAUGCGUAGAUAUGUGGAGGAACACCAGUGGCGAAGGCGACUUUCUGGUCUGUAACUGACACUGAGACACGAAAGCGUGGGGAGCGAACAGG
rnacentral:misc_RNA from 1 species